AUCCAGCUGACGAAUCCUACAUAGGACGAAACGCGAGUCCUGGAU
rnacentral:hammerhead_ribozyme from 1 species